AUUGAACGCUGGCGGCAUGCCUUACACAUGCAAGUCGAACGGCAGCACGGGAGCAAUCCUGGUGGCGAGUGGCGAACGGGUGAGUAAUAUAUCGGAACGUGCCCAGUCGUGGGGAUAACGUAGCGAAAGCUACGCUAAUACCGCAUACGAUCUAUGGAUGAAAGCGGGGGAUCGCAAGACCUCGCGCGAUUGGAGCGGCCGAUAUCAGAUUAGGUAGUUGGUGAGGUAAAGGCUCACCAAGCCGACGAUCUGUAGCUGGUCUGAGAGAACGACCAGCCACACUGGGACUGAGACACGGCCCAGACUCCUACGGGAGGCAGCAGUGGGGAAUUUUUGGACAAUGGGCGAAAGCCUGAUCCAGCAAAUGCCGCGUGCA
rnacentral:rRNA from 1 species